GGAGAGGUGGUCGAGUGGCUUAAGACGCAGACUUGGAAAGUCUGAUCGGGUUUAACCGACGAGGGUUCAAAUCCCUCUCUCUCCG
rnacentral:tRNA from 2 species